rnacentral:rRNA from 1 species
GUAACUCUGACUCUCUUAAGGUAGCCAAAUGCCUUGUCGGGUAAGUUCCGACGUGCAUGAAUGGAUUAACGAGGGCCCCGCUGUCCCCGCCUGGAACCCAGCGAAGCCACAGAGUGGAUGAACAGUCCACUGACUCCCAGCGGGGCGAGAAGACCCCGUGGAGCUUUACUGCAGCUUGCCGCUGAAGUAUGGCUGCGGGUACAGAGUGUAGGCGGGAGCCGUCGAUCCCAGUCUCUUCGGGGAUUGGGGGAGGCGCCAAUGUAACACCGCCUAUCUGCGGUUAUGCCUCUCACCGCGGCUUCGGCCGCGGCACAACGGCAGGUGGGCAGUUCGGCUGGGGCGGCACCCCCUUGAAAAGAUAUCGAGGGGGCCCUAAGAUCGGCUCAAGCGGGACAGAAACCCGCUGUAGAGGGCAAGGCCAAAAGCCGGUCUGACUGUGUCCUUCACGUAAAGGGACGCAGAGGCGAAAGCCGGGCCUAGCGAUCAAUCAUGUCCCCAUUGAUGGGGGCUGGUUGUGACAGAAAAGUUACCCCGGGAAUAAUUGGUUCGUCGCGGGCGAGAGUCCCUAUCGACCCCGCGGUUUGAUACUUCGCCGUCGUCCGUUCCCAUCCUGGCGGUGCAGCAGCCGCCAAGGGUGAGGCUGCUCGCCUAUUAAAGGGGAAUCCGAGAUGGGUUUAGACCGUCGUGAGACAGGUCGGACUCUACCUGCUGGGAGUGAUGGUCGCCUGAGGGGAAGGUGUCCCUAGUACGAGAGGAACGGGGCAUCGUAGCCUACUGUUUACCGGUUGUCCGACAGGGCAUCGCCGGGCAGCUGCGCUGCUUGGGAUAAAGGCUGAAAGCAUCUAAGCCUGAAGCCCUUCCCGAAAAUAGGC